ACCAAUAAAGGGGCCCUCACAGGGCCUGGCCAGCACAGGAGGACAUGACGAUUUGAAAACUUCAGCAGUGCAGCAAAUCACCACAAGGGACAGCAGGAAGCAGAGUCUCAGCCUCAGGGAACUCUGACGGUGUGGCAUUAUAUUACCACAGCAUAAGAAACCAUAUAGUAGUUGACCUCCUACUUCCCAGUAAAAAAGGCUGUAGAGAGGCUAUGGAUCCGAGGGAAGCUAUUUCUAACACUAACUGUAAUUUGAAUGUUACUUCAACUAUUUUGCUUACUGGCCUUGGCUAAGGAACUGUCUCAUAGCUGCUUCCCCAACAGACACAAGAGGGUUGUGUCCAGAGCUUUCCAAGGGGAUGUUCCAGGAAUCAAGGAGAGGCAGCCAAGAGAAAUGCCUUUGAAGUCAGAAAGGAAUUUUGCACCUCAUCUUAGUGAAUAUUUCCUUGGCUGCUGGAGGAAGAGGAGGAAAGGGAGAGAAGAAGCCAAAAAUUUUCUCUUUGUGUGUGUGUGUGUGUGUGUCCAGCAGGCUGGAGGUGAUGCCAUUUCCUGUGCUCAUGGCAGCAGACACAUCCUCACAAGCUUCCUCUGGAUCAUCAGGGGUCCUUGGUCAGGAUCCCCACUGGGACAGACAUCCAAACAACAAAGCUCAAAAGAUUACCAGAUAGAAGACAACAAAGGGGUAAAAGAGAAAUAGACACAUUGUCCCCAUAUCUGAGAACCCUGUUGAUCAGCCCACAAGACUUGUAUGAUUUGUAAUGCUGGGAACAUAAUGUUGGCGACAUUUAUAAUGUAUAUGUUCUCAGUUCCAUCUGUGAGGGUGUUGAAAGUGAAGGACUAUGCACUGUCUCUUGUCUUAAUGACAUAGGAGGACAGACUAGUGAGUCAGAGGGCUAGAGGGUCAAGACAUUGGUUAUCCUUUCUCUACUGCUCUGACACUAUCCCUUCGAUAUAUAGAUUGCUAAUCUCACGGACUUCCUUCCUUCCAGCCACUUCUUUACUCUUCCCUUUUCUUCCCUUCCUUCUACCUUGCAACAUGCAAGCUCCUCUCCCCUGCACCAUGUGUGCAGAAAUGCAGAAUCCAUCUGCAUCCAGCUAGCUAGCUAGAUUAGAGAUCCUAUCUCUUCACUUUACUAUCUAGAAUGGAGUUCUCUAAUAAAUGCCAUAUAUAUUGAUUUGAAACUAUGAACUGGCUCCAAGUUACUUUACUCUCAGCAUACACACAUGCUUAACUAAAUUCCGCUGUGUUGUGCCUCUGUGCACUCUGCUAUAAUGAAAAAGGGUUUCUCUUACCAGAGAGAAUUCCCAACAGAGAGAAGUUCCAUUGGACAGAGGUCCAAGGUUAUCAGACCUCAACGAAAGACAUUUCCUCAUCUUUUCUUAUUGCCCCCUUGCCCCAAACUAAUAUCUUUUUUCCCCACUGCUACCACUAUAAGUGUGAAGGGGCUGCUGCUUAAGUCCCCUUCAAAGCCUGUCUUCUCCAUUAGGAAUAUUUAAGUCCAUUAUAGCCCUUUAGAUUCUUCCGUUGUCUUCUCCCCAGUAUAUCCUGGGCAGAAAUCGUUACUGAGAAUUCAGCUGGGCUAGUCCACUGAUUUUCAACAAGAGAUUUUCUCCCCCUUUCCCCCCUGCUAAACAUGGAUUGGGCCACUGGACAAUCAAUUGGUGAGCAGAAAGAUCACAAAGCUACAGAACUAGGCAAACUGAAAUGUUAAAGCAAGGCUGAUGAUGGAAAUGGGAUGCCCUCCUCCCAACCUCGCACAUUUCAGAUUAAUUCCUUUUAAUUCCUCUCCAUGGGAUGCAGUGUGGGCUCUUCUAUUGUACCCCUCAUACCUCCUCUUCCUCCGGAUGGAGAGUCAAGGCAGCAAAUCCCUGACAACUCUCCAAUGAAAGGAUUACUUCCCCUAUCCCUCUCUCUUUAUCAGCCCCUUCCCCAUAACUUUCAAAAGUUCAGUCAUUUCCCACAAGAUCCUAGAUUGUUCUGUCACUUUCUGGGUGCUCACGUGAUUUCCCCUUUCAUUCCCUCCUAGGUGGAAACCUCCUCCUAGGCUGGGAGGAUUUGCAUAUUGACAUGUCUUGCCAUGAUCCAGUUCCACAUUUCAGCCCUGGGUAUUUCCAGAUAAGGGCUUUUGUGAUUGAGCUUCUGUGGGUUGGUGUGAUGAGCUGCAUGCAAAGUCAUAGUUGGGUGUUCAGUAGUCAUUGUACUAUUUUCUGUCCACAGCAGGGCCGGACUGGGGGCACCGAGAGGGAGCCGAAAUAUAUGUGGGGAGGGCGCAAUAAUGUAUAUGGGGAGGGAGCCAGGUUUUGAGCAGAAUAGGUAAUUAAGGGUGAGAGUUGGGCGCAGGGGCACCGUGUGGGUAGGGCGCACCGGGAAUAUGCCCUGUUGACCUAUGGGCCAGUCCGAGCCUGGUCUACAGCAGGGGCAGAAUGUGGGGGACAUUGCAGGUUGGGGGUCCCUCCCUGCCCCAGCCACUGAAGUUUAAUUUUUUUAAUUUAAAUUUUGUUGUUGUACAACUGUGCACUAUUGGUUUAGCACACUCCUGGCUUACCAAACCUUUGCAGCAUUUCCCCUCAUAUACACACAUUCCUGCUGAGACUCCUGUCUUGGAAUGGAAUCUUCGAAUGGAAUCUUGGAUGGAAUGGAAUCUUGGAAUCUUGGAAUGGAAGAAACCAUGUUUGACUGUGUUUUCCAGUGGCAGACAUCUUGACUAACAUUGCAUGCAUGCAGCAAAAGAAGCACACAUGCAGCUGAGGCGGUCUCAAGUAAAGCCGCACGGGUUCUUGUGCACACGAGGGGGCAAUUUUUGCUAGUCUCCCUUUUCAUCUGAAGUGCUCUGUACCACCUGAAAAUAUGUCCUUGAGGGCAAUUUAGCAGCCUGCAGGAACAUAUUUUCAGGUGGGACAGAUCACUUCUGAAGGAAGGGGAGAGCAGCAGGAUUUGUCCCCUCAUGCAAAUGCCCAUGCUGCUUUACUCAGAAAUGUAGCAUUUGCACACAUGCAUUCUUGGCUGCAUGCAUGCAGCAUUAGUCAGGAUGUCAGUCAGUGUCUCUGGUUCUCUGAACUUUAUUACUGAUUUCUUAAAAAAUCACUUCCUGAAAUCUUGCUGAAUUAUUCCUCUUCCCUCCUGCCCAAUAGUCCCCCUUUAAUGACUUAGUGGCACUCCUAUGCACGCUUUCAUGAGAGUAAGUCCAACUGAACUUAGUAGGACUUACUUCUGAAUAAAUGAACUUAGUAGGACUUACUUCUGAAUAAAUCGAUUUUGUUGUUAUUACUACAUUGUCCUUUUAAUUUUUAUGUUAUCUUGCUGCACUUUUGAUCUUUUGAUAAUGGGCAAUAUAGUGCAAUUUGAUUACGGGCAAUUUAAUGCAAAUACUGCUUUCCUUAAAUAUAAGCGGGAAACACAAUCAGGGAGCAGAGAAGGAGAGGUGGUUCAGUGUUUCAUGGACUGGCAGGCAGAACACACAACCCAGUCAUGUGAUAUGUAGAAUAUGGUCUGGAUCACUUGCAAAAUCACCCCUAAGAAUCAGUGGUCAUGCUGGAUUCCACCAUCUGAAAAUAUUCAGCACACCAGACAAAAUCUCCCCACAGAAAUAAGAAAGUUACAAAGAUAACUGGAGGAUGAAUAGUAGUUUUACCACAAGGACUGUGAUAUAGCUCAGGGUAACAUGUGCAGCUGUGCAUACGUCCAAACUGAUGGAGUUGUUGUGGAACAGGGCUGUUCCUCUCUGACUUAAAAUUGUGUAAUGGCGGUUACAUGAUGCUGCCUCCAUUAUUUCCAAUGGGAGCAGCAUGACACAACUGCAGUUGCUCAGUUUUAAGUCCGUGAGGAACAGCCCUGUUCUGCAACACUGCGGACAGUGUUUUAGACAAACACACAGGUGUGGGUAGUGCUGAAAGCACUGUUGCAGGGUUGGCCCAUUCACUAGGCAGACCUAGGUGAUUGCUUAGGGCACCAGUUCUUGGAGGGUGCAUAAGCAGUGCCAGAAUAUAGCACUGCCAAUUAUUCCUUCUCUCCCUCUUAUAUUGUACCCCUGAAAUACUGCACACUGGUGAUAUUUUUUGGCUUCUGUUGUUUUCGGAUCCUGGGUGUUCCAGAUGUGUCUUGGUUUGUCUGGGAAUGGGGAGACAGGAGGUGUGUCCACUGACUAUGGGGGUGCUAUUCCAGUGGUGGUGGGGAAUAGAGGAAGUAAAUUUGGCAGCUCAGCACGUCAUUACAGGGGAAGGGAAGUCAGAAAUCUAUUAGCUGUUUCCCCUUCCAGCUGCCCUGCCAGCUCUUUGACCUUGGGGAGCAGUGCCAACCUCCCACAGACUCUCGCCUUGCUCCUCUGUAAUGCCAGGUCUGUCCAGAAUAAGUCAGAAACCAUCCAUGAUCUGAUUCUGGAUGAAGGGGCAGACCUGGUAUUUAUUACAGAGACUUGGUUGGGGGAGGCUGGUGGCCCAGUAUGGUCCCAGCUUCUCCCUCCAGGAUACUCUGUUGAGGAGCAGGUGUGGGGACGUGGGUGGGGAGGUGGAGUGGCUGUGUAUAAGAAUAACAUCUCCCUGACCAGGAUCUCUGUGGAAGCGUCUGACCAUAUUGAAUGUAUAUACCUAAGUUUGGGGACCAGGGAUAGACUGGGACUUCUGUUGGUGUACCGAUCGCCCCACUACCCAAUGAAGUCCCUAAGUGAGCUGACAGACUUGGUCUUGGGUUUGGUAUUGGAAUCUCCGAGGCUUGUGGUGCUGGGGGACUUCAAUGUCCACUUUGGGGCCAAUUUGUCUGGGGCGGCUCAGGAGUUCAUAGCGGCCAUGAUGACUAUGGGCCUAUCCCAAAGGGUCUCAGGACUGAUGCACAUUGCAGGUCACAUGAUUGAUCUGGUCUUCCACUCUGAUGAGGGUGGUAUUCCAUGGGUGGGGACUCCUGUGAUCUCCCCAUUGUCAUGAAUGGCCCACCAUCUGGUUAAGGUUGGACUCAGUCACACCCCGCCUUCGCAGGGGCAAGGGGCCCAUUAGAAUGGUCCGCCUGAGAAGGUUAUUGGAUCCAAUAGGGUUCCAAGAAGCCUUGGAGGGAUUUAGUGUUGGCUCUGCUGGUGAUCCUGUUGAUGCUCUGGUGGAGAACUAGAAUAGCAAGCUCACCAGGGCAGUAGACAUGAUCGCACCUAAGCAUCAUCUCCAACCCACUUCUAAAAUGGACCAUUGGUAUAGGGAAGAACUACGGGGGCUGAAGCAGUGAGGUAGAUGACUGGAGUGCAAGUGGAGGAAGACUCGACUCGAAUCCAACAGAUUACUACUUAGAGCACAUUUCAAGAUCUAUGCUCUGGCAAUACGGAUGCCAAAGAAGCGAUUAUUUUCCGCCAGUAUUGAGUCCGCAAGUUCACAUCCAGCAUAGUUGUCCAGGGUUGUGAGAGGGCUAGUGAGUGCCCCUCCUCCCUCAAAUCAAAAUUUGGAACCAUCUAUUACUCACUGUGACUGGUUUAAUUACUUUUUUGUGGAUAAAAUCUCUUGUAUUCGGGCCGACUUGGAUUUAGACUCCACAACUACUGCAGUGUCUGAAUUGGAGGUGUCCAGCAACCCCUCUUAUGUGGUUAGGCUGGAUCAGUUUCAGUUUGUGACUCGUGAGGAUGUGGACAAGUUGCUUGGAGCAAUGCGGCCUACCACCUGUUCUCUUGACCUUUGCCCGAUGUGGCUAAUACUGUCUGGCAGGGAGAUUGUUGUGGAAGGCCUGGUAGAGAUCAUAAAUACUUCUCUGAGGGAGGGCAGAAUGCCUCCUUGCCUUUAGGAGGCAAUUAUUAGACCACUUCUGAAGAAGCCUACCCUGGAUUCCUCAGAGUUGAGCAAUUAUAGGCCUGUCUCCAACCUCCAUGGCUGGGCAAGAGAAAUGAGAGGGUGGUGGUCUCCCAACUCCAGGCAGUCUUGGAUGAAACUGAUUAUCUAGACCUGUUUCAGACCGGCUUUUGAGUGGGCUUUGGGGUGGAGACUGCCUUGGUUGGCCUGAUGGAUGAUCUCCAAUUGGAAAUGGACAGAGGAAGUGUGACUCUGUUGGUCCUUUUGGACCUCUUGGCGGCGUUCGAUACUAUCGAACAUAGUAUUCUUCUGGAGUGUCUGAGGAGAUUGGGGGGUGGGAGGCACUGCUUUGCAGUGGUUCCACUCUUACCUCUUGGGCAGAUUCCAGAUGGUGUCUCUCGAGGACUGUUGUUCUUCAAAAACUGAACUUCGGUAUGGUGUCCCUCAGGGCUCCGUAUAGUCUAAAUGUUGUUUAACAUCUACAUGAAACUGCUGGGAAGAUCGUCAGGAGAUUUGGUGCAGGGUGUUAUCAGUAUGCUGAUGAUACCCAAAUCUAUUUCUCCAUGUCAGCAUCAUCAGGAGAAGGCAUUACCUCCCUAAAUGCCUGCGUGUAGGCAGUGAUGGGCUGGAUGAGAGGUAACAAGCUGAGACUGAAUCCAGAUAAGAUGGAGGUACUUAUUGUGCGGUGUAGGAACUCUGGAGAUGAUUUUGAUCUGCCUGUUCUGGAUGGGGUCACACUUCCCCAGAAGGAACAGGUAUGCUGUCUGGAGGUGCUUCUGGACACAAAGCUCUCCCUGGUGUCUCAGGUUGAGGCAAUGACCAGAGGUGCCUUUUAUCAGCUUUGGCUGAUACACCAGCUGUGUCCAUUUCUUGAGAUAAAUGACCUCAGAACAGUAGUACAUCUGCUGGUCACCUCCAGACUUGACUACUGCAGUGUGCUCUAUGUGGGGCUGCCUUUGUACAUAGUCCGGAAACUGCAGUUAGUCCAGAAUGCGGCAGCCAGAUUGGUCUCUGGGUCAUCUUGGAGAGACCAUAUCACUUAAAACAUCUACACUGGCUGCCGGUAAGUUUCCGGGCAGAGUACAAGGUUUUGGUUAUAACCUAUAAAGCCCUAAACAGCUUGGACCUUGGGUAUUUAAGAGAAUGUCUUAUUUGCUAUGAACCACACCGCCCAUUGAGAGCAUCUGGAGAGGUUCGUCUGCAGUUGCCACCGGCUCAUCUGGUGACUACUCAGGGACGGGCCUUCUCCAUUGCUGCCCUGAGGCUUUGGAACACACUUCCUGCUGAAAUAAGAGCCUCUCCAUCUCUUAUAACUUUUAAAAGAUCAGUCAAGAUGCAUUUGUUCACCCAGGCUUUUAAUUAGAUACUGUUUUAAUUGUGUUUUAAUUGUUUUAAUUGUUUUAACUUUUUAAAUUUUAAUUGUUGAAGUGUGUCAAUCUUUUUAUUGGUUGUUUUUAUUGUUUUGUAAACUGCCCAGAGAACUUGUGUUUUGGGCAGUAUAGAAAUAUGUCAAAUAAAUAAAUAAAUAAAUGUAAUGUAAUGAGGCACCCUGUUCCCCAAAGGGCCUGCACAUUCUGCACCCCAAAAUACACAGUCUUUCAUAUUUUCCUCUGUCUUGGUUUUGAUGAAUAAGACUCUGUAUGUUGUUUGGUUUUGUUUGACUCUCAGAGAUGUAACCUUUCUGUUUCCACUUAUUAUACUAAUAAAAGCA